CAGUCGCCACGGUAAUACGUAGGUGGCAAGCGUUGUCCGGAAUUAUUGGGCGUAAAGGGCUCGCAGGCGGUUUCUUAAGUCUGAUGUGAAAGCCCCCGGCUCAACCGGGGAGGGUCAUUGGAAACUGGGAAACUUGAGUGCAGAAGAGGAGAGUGGAAUUCCACGUGUAGCGGUGAAAUGCGUAGAGAUGUGGGGGAACACAAGUGGCGAAGGCGACUCUCUGGUCUGUAACUGACGCUGAGGAGCGAAAGCGUGGGGAGCGAACAGGAUUAGAUACCCGUGUAGUCCCUGUCUCUUAUAC
rnacentral:rRNA from 1 species